rnacentral:tRNA from 1 species
GGCUUCAUUGUGUAGUAGUUAGCAUGACUACUUUGCAUGCAGAAGUCCUGGGUUUGCAGCCCAGGUGGAGCCA